GCCCGUCACACCAUGGGAGCCGGAAACGCCCGAAGCCAGUGGCCUGACCGCGAGGGGGGAGCUGUCGAAGGCGGGUCCGGUGACCGGGGUGAAGUCGUAACAAGGUAAC
rnacentral:rRNA from 1 species